rnacentral:rRNA from 1 species
AGAGUUUGAUCAUGGCUCAGAACGUACGCUGGCGGCACGCCUAAUACAUGCAAGUCGAACGAAGUAGCAAUACUUAGUGGCAGACGGGUGAGUAACAUGUAGGUAUCUUCCCAUUGGUGAGGAAUAACACGAGGAAACUUGUGCUAAUACCUCAUAAGUCUUUACGGAGAAAGCUUUAUGCGCCGAUGGAUGAGCCUGCACUUGAUUAGUUUGUUGGUAGGGUAAUGGCCUACCAAGACAAUGAUCAAUAGCUGAUUUGAGAGGAUGAUCAGCCACAUUGGGACUGAGACACGGCCCAAACUCCUACGGGAGGCAGCAGUAGGGAAUCUUGCACAAUGGGGGAAACCCUGAUGCAGCGAUGCCGCGUGAGUGAAGAAGGCCUUUGGGUUGUAAAGCUCUUUCGUCGGGGAAGAAAAUGACUGUACCCGAAUAAGAAGGUCCGGCUAACUUCGUGCCAGCAGCCGCGGUAAUACGAAGGGACCUAGCGUAGUUCGGAAUUACUGGGCUUAAAGAGUUCGUAGGUGGUUAAAAAAGUUGGUGGUGAAAUCCCAGAGCUUAACUCUGGAACUGCCAUCAAAACUUUUUAGCUAGAGUAUGAUAGAGGAAAGCAGAAUUUCUAGUGUAGAGGUGAAAUUCGUAGAUAUUAGAAAGAAUACCAAUUGCGAAGGCAGCUUUCUGGAUCAUUACUGACACUGAGGAACGAAAGCAUGGGUAGCGAAGAGGAUUAGAUACCCUCGUAGUCCAUGCCGUAAACGAUGUGUGUUAGACGUUGGAAAUUUAUUUUCUGUGUCGCAGCGAAAGCAAUAAACACACCGCCUGGGGAGUACGACCGCAAGGUUAAAACUCAAAUGAAUUGACAGGGACCCGCACAAGUAGUGGAGCAUGUGGUUUAAUUCGAAGAUACGCGCAGAACCUUACCAACACUUGACAUGUUCGUCGCGACUUUAGGAAGAGAUUAAAGUUUUCGGUUCGGCCGGACGAAACACAGGUGCUGCAUGGCUGUCGUCAGCUCGUGUCGUGAGAUGUUGGGUUAAGUCCCGCAACGAGCGCAACCCUCACUUUUAGUUGCCAUCAUUUAGUUGGGCACUCUGAAAGAACUGCCAGUGAUAAGCUGGAGGAAGGUGGGGAUGACGUCAAGUCCUCAUGGCCCUUACGUGUUGGGCUACACACGUGCUACAAUGGCAUUUACAAUAGGAAGCAAGACGGCGACGUUAAGCAAAUCCUAAAAAAAUGCCUCAGUUCGGAUUGUACUCUGCAACUCGAGUACAUGAAGCUGGAAUUACUAGUAAUCGCGGAUCAGCGCGCCGCGGUGAAUACGUUCCCGGGUCUUGUACACACCGCCCGUCACACCAUGGGAGUUGGUUCUACCUUAAGGCAAAGUUUAAUACCUUUGACCACGGUAUAGUCAGCGACUGGGGUGAAGUCGUAACAAGGUAGCCGUA